GUGAGGAAUCUUCCACAAUGGGCGAAAGCCUGAUGGAGCAACGCCGCGUGAAGGAUGAAUGUCUUCGGAUUGUAAACUUCUUUUAUGAGUGAAGAAUAUGACGGUAACUCCUGAAUAAGCACAGGCUAACUACGGGCCAGCAGCCGCGGUCAUACGUAGGGUGCAAGCAUUAUCCGGAGUGACUGGGCGUAAAGAGUUGCGUAGGCGGUUAUGUAAGCGAAUAGUGAAACCUGGUGGCUCAACCACACAUACUAUGAUUCGAACUGCAUAACUCGAGAAUGGUAGAGGUAACUGGAAUUUCUGGUGUAGGAGUGAAAUCCGUAGAUAUAAGAAGGAACACCAAGGGCGUAGGCAGGUUACUGGGCCAUUUCUGACGCUAAGGCACGAAAGCGUGGGGAGCGAACCGGAUUAGAAACCCCAGUAGUCC
rnacentral:rRNA from 1 species